AAGGGAAAGUGGAGUGGAUAGCAUUGCAAUUUGCAGCGCCAACUCAAGUGCAUGGGCGGCAAUGACUUUUUUUGAAAGCUUUCGGUAAUUGAGUUCAGUAAGUCAUGCAAAAGCACUCAUCUUCCCCAAAUGACUAGUUUGCCCUAACUUGAUGGCUUAAUCACUUGAUGCCAGCACUUUCUUGGUGGGCAUGCUUGGGGUAAAUUGACAAGAAUGUGAAGUCGAGCACAGCCAGGGCAGUGAGCCCAGAGAUGUGAGCUCCCAUCCUGAUGUUAACUUUCUUCCUGUAAUCAUAGCAUUUCCAUGAUUCGUUCGCCGUCCAAAGAAUUGAUAGGAGCUCGCAGCAUCUUCAACUUAAAGGGUUUCGUUGGAAACUUUCUAUGGCACAUUACUUAUUGUCCUGGAGAUUUCCUAGCCUUCCCCAUACAUGGAACUACGAAAGGUGUAAUAUGAAAACUUGUUUUUCUGCAUAUUCUUCAGA
rnacentral:lncRNA from 1 species